rnacentral:rRNA from 1 species
GACGAACGCUGUCGGCGUGCUUAACACAUGCAAGUCGAACGGAAAGGCCCUGCUUUUGUGGGGUGCUCGAGUGGCGAACGGGUGAGUAACACGUGAGUAACCUGCCCUUGACUUUGGGAUAACUUCAGGAAACUGGGGCUAAUACCGGAUAGGAGCUCCUGCUGCAUGGUGGGGGUUAGAAAGUUUCGGCGGUUGGGGAUGGACUCGCGGCUUAUCAGCUUGUUGGUGGGGUAGUGGCUUACCAAGGCUUUGACGGGUAGCCGGCCUGAGAGGGUGACCGGCCACAUUGGGACUGAGAUACGGCCCAGACUCCUACGGGAGGCAGCAGUGGGGAAUAUUGCACAAUGGGCGGAAGCCUGAUGCAGCAACGCCGCGUGCGGGAUGACGGCCUUCGGGUUGUAAACCGCUUUCGCCUGUGACGAAGCGUGAGUGACGGUAAUGGGUAAAGAAGCACCGGCUAACUACGUGCCAGCAGCCGCGGUGAUACGUAGGGUGCGAGCGUUGUCCGGAUUUAUUGGGCGUAAAGGGCUCGUAGGUGGUUGAUCGCGUCGGAAGUGUAAUCUUGGGGCUUAACCCUGAGCGUGCUUUCGAUACGGGUUGACUUGAGGAAGGUAGGGGAGAAUGGAAUUCCUGGUGGAGCGGUGGAAUGCGCAGAUAUCAGGAGGAACACCAGUGGCGAAGGCGGUUCUCUGGGCCUUUCCUGACGCUGAGGAGCGAAAGCGUGGGGAGCGAACAGGCUUAGAUACCCUGGUAGUCCACGCUGUAAACGGUGGGUACUAGGUGUGGGGUCCAUUCCACGGGUUCCGUGCCGUAGCUAACGCUUUAAGUACCCCGCCUGGGGAGUACGGCCGCAAGGCUAAAACUCAAAGGAAUUGACGGGGCCCCGCACAAGCGGCGGAGCAUGCGGAUUAAUUCGAUGCAACGCGUAGAACCUUACCUGGGUUUGACAUGGAUCGGGAGUGCUCAGAGAUGGGUGUGCCUCUUUUGGGGUCGGUUCACAGGUGGUGCAUGGCUGUCGUCAGCUCGUGUCGUGAGAUGUUGGGUUAAGUCCCGCAACGAGCGCAACCCUUGUUCACUGUUGCCAGCACGUUAUGGUGGGGACUCAGUGGAGACCGCCGGGGUCAACUCGGAGGAAGGUGGGGAUGACGUCAAGUCAUCAUGCCCCUUAUGUCCAGGGCUUCACGCAUGCUACAAUGGCUGGUACAGAGAGUGGCGAGCCUGUGAGGGUGAGCGAAUCUCGGAAAGCCGGUCUCAGUUCGGAUUGGGGUCUGCAACUCGACCUCAUGAAGUCGGAGUCGCUAGUAAUCGCAGAUCAGCAACGCUGCGGUGAAUACGUCCCCGGG